CUCAACUAAUUUGUCAGUGUUAGGUAAAUGUCAGAACUAAAGGCAGUUGCAGCACUCUGAUCAUGUGCAAGUCCAUGAUAUGAGCUUUCUUUUUUUCUGUCUGAAUAGAGUUGUGCACAUUCACAAGUGGUGUGCAUGCUCCAUGAGACAACAUGGAGAUCCAGAGUAUUCAUCCCUUACUUCUGCAAAAUGGAGCCUUUCCUACUGAAGUUAACAGAAAGAGAAAGAGUUUGAGAUGCUAUUUAGGCAACAAGGAGAGUGAUAAAUGGAGCUUCAAGAGUUUAGUGCCUAUGUUUUUCUCUUUAUUGCCUUUAUAAGACAGACUGGGAAACUCCUCAUCUUACAGAAGAUGGGAGGUGUCAGUAACUUGCACUGUUAGGAAGAAAUUGUGCUACAAAA
rnacentral:lncRNA from 14 species